UCCGUGUUAACCACGGCAGUCUCUUUAGAGAGCCCAACUUAAUGCUGGCAACUAAAGACAAGGGUUGCGCUCGUUGCGGGACUUAACCCAACAUGUCACCACACGAGCUGACGACAGCCAUGCAGCACCUGUCACUUGGUCGUAUUGCUACGAAAGUCUCAUCUCUGAGAUUGUCCAAGGAUGUCAAAUCCAGGUAAGGUUCUUCGCGUUGCUUCGAAUUAAACCACAUGAUCCACCGCUUGUGCGGGCCCCCGUCAAUUCCUUUGAGUUUUAGUCUUGCGACCGUACUUCCCAGGCGGGGUACUUAUUGCGUUAGCGCCGGUUCGACGGGGGUCAAGACCCAUCAAACCUAGUACCCAUCGUUUACAGCGUGGACUAC
rnacentral:misc_RNA from 1 species